CCUACGAGGUGCUGCAGUGGGGAAUAUUGGGCAAUGGACGCAAGUCUGACCCAGCAACGCCGCGUGAAGGAAGAAGGCUUUCGGGUUGUAAACUUCUUUUAAGGGGGAAGAGCAGAAGACGGUACCACUUGAAUAAGCAUCGGCUAACUCCGUGCCAGCAGCCGCGGUAAUACGGAGGAUGCGAGCGUUAUCCGGAUUUAUUGGGUGUAAAGGGAGCGUAGACGGUGCGCCAAGUCUGGAGUGACAUGCAGCAGCUUAACUGCGGAACUGCUUUGGAAACUGGCGAACUAGAGUGCGGGAGAGGUAAGCGGAAUUCCGAGUGUAGCGGUGAAAUGCGUAGAUAUGAGGAGGAACACCGGUGGCGAAGGCGGCUUACUGGACCGUAACUGACGUUGAGGCACGAAAGCGUGGGGAGCAAACAGGAUUAGAUACCCGUGUAGUC
rnacentral:rRNA from 1 species